CAACCCAGGGAGAGGAGGCUGCUUGGCGCUACAACUGGAGAAGGAAGACCCAAACUCCUCGCUCGGCGCUGUUUAGUAGCUGCGGUGGAGGGCUGGUGCCUUUGGGACAGUUAGCCAGUUCUCCAGGUCCAGAGUUUGCAUGUGCCUCGCACUUGAGAAAGGAACUUCCUCCUGACUGCUUCGUCUUUUGGUCUGCCAAACUGAAAUAUGAAAAAUGGAUGAAGUAUACACAAUCUCGUCUACCGAGAAGGUCCAGCAGCUGGAAAGAGAACUAGCAGCACAGCUAGCAGAGCUGAAGGCAGAAAUAGAAGACUAUGGGGUGCUCCCGGGAACACCGAGUAGGGCAUACAGUUCUGUUCCAAUUCCAAAGGAUGCAUCUUAUUUCAGAAAAGAAAGGGAGAUAAUACUGAAGAAAGGCUUACAGGUGACGGAGGCAAAACCUCUUGUUAUUCAGGCUGAUGUCAUGCAGAGGGAGUUAGAGAGCUGCUUGAGGAGGGAGUAUACAGCAGCAAACUUGCCCCUGCUGCUGCACCAGUUUUUUACAGACAGAAUUACUCGGCUAGUCCAGUGUAAAUAUUUGCACAUGCUUAGAUGGAAGAGAUUUUGUACGCACAGCAAUGUUAUUGAACAACUUUAUCCUCUCUAUCAGAAGCAAAUUAGUCACAUCAUGGAAGAAUACAACAAUGCAGUUCAGAGGGCUGCAAGGCUUUCAGCUGCGAGGGAAAAGUUCCUGACAAGAAAGAAAAAUACGGUGAAUGUAGUGACCCAGGAAGAUCUGAUGAUUUACACCCAGUGGCUAGUGUGUCACUUGCACUCUGUGAAGGGUGUUCACUGUUUCCUUCAGAGUUUUAAAAAGAAAUGGUGAGAAAUGAUCAACUUUCUUUAAAAACCAGAAGUCCUACAGAUAAUGCAUUUAUUGAUGUAUAUUCUUUGAGAAUGGUCAACAGGGUGAAUUUGGGAAGUACUGAAUGCCAUCCUUGGUUUGUAUGCUUGAGAAAUUUGGCAUGUGGCUUUUAAAAUCAGCAAGAUUCCUGGAAAAGGUGGUGCCCAAAUUCCAGAGCGUGGAGUUCUGAAUUGGCAGUGGUGGCUCCUGUGGCCUUAGUAAGGUUUAUGUUCGAGGAGUUCGGCUUUGCUGUCCGUGCACAGAGUCACAGAGAGAGUCAGUUUAGAAGAACACGUGUGGAAUCAACGCGGUGGAGAUUCCAGGAUGUUGUUCUGAUUAUGCCAAGCCCUGAAACUCACCCUCCCAAUUUUCUGAAAAAAUAUUAUUUAAAAUAUUUCUGUGGGUGUCCUGUUUCUAGAGGGAUACUUUGCUAUGCGUCUUUAAACAAUGAAUCUCUAGAAAAAUCUUUGUGUUCUCUUUUCCUCUGGAAGAAGGGAGGAAGUGACGUUGCUUAUGUAGAGUUACCCAUGUGAGUGGCACUUCAGCAAGCAAGACAGUAUCCUUGUCCCAAAGUGAUGAAAUGCUAAGAUUUAAUCUGUGCUUUUUUCCUCACUGUUCUUGCUGUGUCUGAAGUGUGGGAGCCCACAGGAUUGUCUCUGAAGAGUCCGGUUCCUGCCUCUCCUUUGGGGAGAGGCAGGGUGUUGUGCCUCCUGCUUGCAGUCGGAAAGUGGGCUGCCCAGGGUGGAGGAAUCGGAAGGGACCAUGGCUUGUCCUCCCUGUUCCCUUGCUCUGUUGAAAACUUCUAGCCCGGGGGAGCAGAGUGUACCUGGGGGCCUGCAUGGGGGAGCAGGGCACAACCGCAGCCUGGAGCGACACUGCCCUAAGAGCGAUGAUUGAUUGCGAACGCUGUAG
rnacentral:lncRNA from 1 species